rnacentral:rRNA from 1 species
AGUGAACGCUGGCGGUAGGCCUAACACAUGCAAGUCGAACGGCAGCACAGUAAGAGCUUGCUCUUACGGGUGGCGAGUGGCGGACGGGUGAGGAAUACAUCGGAAUCUACUUUUUCGUGGGGGAUAACGUAGGGAAACUUACGCUAAUACCGCAUACGACCUACGGGUGAAAGCAGGGGAUCUUGGGACCUUGCGCGAUUGAAUGAGCCGAUGUCGGAUUAGCUAGUUGGCGGGGUAAGGGCCCACCAAGGCGACGAUCCGUAGCUGGUCUGAGAGGAUGAUCAGCCACACUGGAACUGAGACACGGUCCAGACUCCUACGGGAGGCAGCAGUGGGGAAUAUUGGACAAUGGGCGCAAGCCUGAUCCAGCCAUACCGCGUGGGUGAAGAAGGCCUUCGGGUUGUAAAGCCCUUUUGUUGGGAAAGAAAAGCAGCAGGUUAAUACCCCGCUGUUCUGACGGUACCCAAAGAAUAAGCACCGGCUAACUUCGUG